rnacentral:rRNA from 1 species
GAUGAACGCUGGCGGCGUGCCUAAUACAUGCAAGUCGAGCGAAAAGACCGGGAGCUUGCUCCUCUGACGUUGGCGGCGGACGGAAGAGUAACACAUGGAUAACCUACCUCUAAGACUGGGAUAACUUCGGGAAACAGGAGCUAAUAACGGAUAAUAUAUUGAACCGCAUGGUUCAAUAGUGAAAGACGGUUUUGCGUACACUUAUAGAUGACUACGCGCCGCAUUAGCUAGUUGGUAAGGUAACGGCUUACCAAGGCAACGAUGCGUAGCCGACCUAAGCGGGUGAUCGGCCACACUGGAACUGAGACACGGCCCAGACUCCGGCGGGAGGCAGCAGUAGGGAAUCUUCCGCAAUGGGCGAAAGCGUGAUAGAGCAACGCGGCGGGAGUGAUGAAGGUCUUCUGAUCGUAGAGCUCUGUUAUUAGGGAAGAACAAAUGCGUAAGUAACUAUGCACGUCUUGACGGUACCUGAACAGAAAGCCACGGCUAAUUACGUG